GGGAGCGAGCGGCAUGGAUGCCGCGAGAGGCGUAAAGGGCCAGGGAUGGCCCUUGUACGCCGGUCCC
rfam:Pseudomonas sp. Chol1 Contig50, whole genome shotgun sequence.